AUUGAACGCUGGCGGCAUGCUUUACACAUGCAAGUCGAACGGUAACAGCACUUCGGUGGCUGACGAGUGGCGAACGGGUGAGUAAUACAUCGGAACGUGCCUAGUAGUGGGGGAUAACUACUCGAAAGAGUAGCUAAUACCGCAUGAGAUCUAAGGAUGAAAGCAGGGGACCUUCGGGCCUUGCGCUACUAGAGCGGCUGAUGGCAGAUUAGGUAGUUGGUGGGAUAAAAGCUUACCAAGCCGACGAUCUGUAGCUGGUCUGAGAGGACGACCAGCCACAAUGGGACCGAGACACGGCCCAGACUCCUACGGGAGGCAGCAGUGGGGAAUUUUGGACAAUGGGCGCAAGCCUGAUCCAGCAAUGCCGCGUGCAGGAUGAAGGCCUUCGGGUUGUAAACUGCUUUUGUACGGAACGAAAAGCCCUCUUCUAAUACAGGAGGGUCAUGACGGUACCGUAAGAAUAAGCACCGGCUAACUACGUG
rnacentral:rRNA from 1 species